UGAUUUCUCUAAAGAGGCUGUGUUGGGGCUGUGAAACCAAGAACUCUUAACACUGUAACCAAAGAUUGAAGUUCUCCACAGGAUGCUGAGUCAUUCAAUAGUAAUGUAUGUUCCUGGGGAGAUCUAAAA
rnacentral:snoRNA from 1 species